rnacentral:rRNA from 1 species
CGGCGUGCUUAACACAUGCAAGUCGAACGUGAUCCAGAGCUUGCUCUGGUGAAAGUGGCGCACGGGUGAGUAUCGCGUGGAUAACCUACCCUGGUGUCUGGGAUAACAUCUCGAAAGGGGUGCUAAUACCGGAUAAGCCCACGGGAUCUUCGGAUUCUGCGGGAAAAGGUGGCCUCUAUUUAUAAGCUACCGUAUCAGGAUGGGUCCGCGUACCAUUAGCUAGUUGGUGGGGUAAUGGCCUACCAAGGCUACGAUGGUUAGCUGGUCUGAGAGGAUGAUCAGCCACACUGGAACUGAGACACGGUCCAGACUCCUACGGGAGGCAGCAGUGGGGAAUUUUGCGCAAUGGGGGAAACCCUGACGCAGCAACGCCGCGUGAGUGAUGAAGGCUUUCGGGUCGUAAAACUCUGUUGUUAGGGAAGAACAAGUAUCGGAGUAACUGCCGGUACCUUGACGGUACCUAACCAGAAAGCCACGGCUAACUACGUGCCAGCCGCCGC